CCUACGGGUGGCAGCAGUGGGGGAUAUUGCACAAUGGGGGGAACCCUGAUGCAGCGACGCCGCGUGAGCGAAGAAGUACCUCGGUAUGUAAAGCUCUAUCAGCAGGGAAGAAAAUGACGGUACCUGACUAAGAAGCCCCGGCUAAAUACGUGCCAGCAGCCGCGGUAAUACGUAUGGGGCAAGCGUUAUCCGGAUUUACUGGGUGUAAAGGGAGCGCAGGCGGCCUGCCAAGUCUGGUGUGAAAACCCGGGGCUCAACCCCGGGCCUGCAUUGGAAACUGGCGGGCUGGAGUGUCGGAGGGGCAGGCGGAAUUCCUGGUGUAGCGGUGAAAUGCGUAGAUAUUAGGAGGAACACCGGUGGCGAAGGCGGCCUGCUGGACGAUGACUGACGCUGAGGCUCGAAAGCGUGGGGAGCAAACAGGAUUAGAUACCCCAGUAGUC
rnacentral:rRNA from 1 species